rnacentral:rRNA from 1 species
UACGAAGGGGGCUAGCGUUGCUCGGAAUCACUGGGCGUAAAGCGCACGUAGGCGGCUUUUUAAGUCAGGGGUGAAAUCCUGGAGCUCAACUCCAGAACUGCCUUUGAUACUGAGAAGCUUGAGUCCGGGAGAGGUGAGUGGAACUGCGAGUGUAGAGGUGAAAUUCGUAGAUAUUCGGAAGACACCAGUGGCGAAGGCGGCUCACUGGACUGGUAUUGACGCUGAGGUGCGAAAGCGUGGGGAGCAAACAGG